rnacentral:rRNA from 1 species
GACAGAGGUGCCGAGCGUUAGGCGGAAUCACUGGGCUUAAAGCGUGUGUAGGCGGCCCGUUAAGUGUCUUGUGAAAUCCCCCGGCUCAACCGGGGAACUGCUGGGCAUACUGGCGGGCUUGGGCCACUCAGGGGCAGACGGAACAGGCGGUGGAGCGGUGAAAUGCGUAGAUAUCGCCUGGAACGCCGAAGGUGAAAACAGUCUGCUGGGGGUGUGCCGACGGCUGAGACACGAAAGCCAGGGGAGCGAACGGG